rnacentral:rRNA from 1 species
UACAGAGGCCCCGAGCGUUAGGCGGAAUCACUGGGCUUAAAGCGUGUGUAGGUGGAUGCCUAAGUACCUUGUGAAAUCCCACGGCUUAACCGUGGAAUUGCUGGGUAUACUGUGUGUCUUGAGCCACUCAGGGGCUACCGGAACAAAUGGUGGAGCGGUGAAAUGCGUAGAUAUCAUUUGGAACGCCAAUGGUGAAAACAGGUAGCUGGGGGUGUGCUGACACUGAGACACGAAAGCCAGGGGAGCAAACGGG